GUUUGCACUACACUCUACACGUCUACACGUGACGAGGCCAAUGGCUAUCUGAAUUUUACCGGAAGAGAGCAAAGCAAGAGAAGAGAGGGCACCACCAGAAGGGGGGAAAACCGCCACCUCUACGCGUCGCCGGAGAGCGCGCCGGUGGCAUGCCGGAGCGCCGCCUACCAAUAUCCACUCCGGCGGCGGCCGGACCCCGCCGUCACCCCCGACGGCAGCGGCGUCACUGCCGCCUACUCGUCCUCCCGGCCUUCGCCCUCGCGCUUGUCUCCCUCGCCUACCUCUCCUUCUCUUCCCACCCCAAUCUCCCCUUCCAUGGUAAGCUGCGCAAAUCACCCUGCUAGAGAUCCUUUGAUGCUAUGCUCUACAGCAAAACAUCAUGAUAUGGCUAGUAUAAAGGAUGUUAAGGAGAGAAUGGAUCAAAGACAAACUCUCGAUGCUAAGGUUAAGGCAAAUUUGUCUAUGUGA
rnacentral:lncRNA from 1 species